rnacentral:rRNA from 1 species
GAGGGGAGCCCUAGCACAGGUGCUGCAUGGCCGUCGUCAGCUCGUGCCGUGAGGGUGUUGGGUUUAAGUCCCGCAACGAGCGCAACCCCUGCCCUUAGUUGCCAUCGGGUCACGCCGGGAACUCUAAGGGGACCGCCCCGGACAACGGGGAGGAAGGUGGGAUGACGUCAAGUCAGCAUGGCCUUUAUGUCCAGGGCUACACACGUGCUACAAUGGUUGGUACAAAGGGUUGCCAAGCCGUGAGGCGGAGCCAAUCUCAAAAAGCCAACCUCAGUUCGGAUUGCAGUCUGCAACUCGACUGCAUGAAGUUGGAAUCGCUAGUAAUCGCUGAUCAGCAGGCAGCGGUGAAUACGUUCCCGGGCCUU